CUACUGCGCUUGAGCGACAGCCAUUAAAGAUGUCCUGUGGCUCCUGUCAGUUUUCAGUAGUUGAAGGUGAAGUUGGCUCGUUGUUUGUUUAUCCUUUAUUUUAUCGCGUCAUCAAGUUGAUGAUGAUUUUUGAUUGCUGAAGGUCUUAAAUUAAGACGAAGGUGGGAAUAGAACUGCAGAUACAUAUUAUACUAAAAUCCACCAUGACAGAUGAAUAUGAUGCCAAGGAUUAGAUUUGAAAAAAGUUCUUCUCCUCUCUACAUUUGAUGAAAGCCAUUUUCAGCAAAGGUGGGAAUAGAACUGCAGACGCAUAUACCAAAAUCCACCAUGACAGACGAAUAUGCUGCCAACUACAGUUUUAGAUUUAAAACUCCUUUCUACAUCUGAUGGAAACCAUUUUCAGACCAAGAGCAGAGAGACUACGCCUCAUGAAGCUCAAAUCGAGGACGAUAGCAGUUCAAAGUAAAAAUAUAUAAUUAGUUAUAAAUUGAAAGUUCAAUUUUUGUAAUAUUUAAUAAAAAUCAUUGCAUUUUAUUGAAAA